rnacentral:rRNA from 1 species
CAACUUUCAACAACGGAUCUCUUGGUUCUGGCAUCGAUGAAGAACGCAGCGAAAUGCGAUAAGUAGUGUGAAUUGCAAAAUUCAGUGAAUCAUCGAAUCUUUGAACGCACAUUGCGCCCUUUGGUAUUCCAAAGGGCAUGCCUGUUCGAGCGUCAUUUG